rnacentral:tRNA from 1 species
GGGGGUAUAGCUCAGCUGGGAGAGCGUUACACUGGCAGUGUAAAGGUCGUCGGUUCAAGUCCGUCUACCUCCAC